GGGUUGUGAGGUUAAGCGACUAAGCGUACACGGUGGAUGCCCUGGCAGUCAGAGGCGAUGAAGGACGUGCUAAUCUGCGAUAAGCGUCGGUAAGGUGAUAUGAACCGUUAUAACCGGCGAUUUCCGAAUGGGGAAACCCAGUGUGAUUCGUCACACUAUCAUUACGUGAAUACAUAGCGUAAUGAAGCGAACCGGGGGAACUGAAACAUCUAAGUACCCCGAGGAAAAGAAAUCAACCGAGAUUCCCCCAGUAGCGGCGAGCGAACGGGGAGCAGCCCAGAGUCUGAAUCAGCUUGUGUGUUAGUGGAACGGUCUGGAAAGUCCGACGGUACAGGGUGAUAGUCCCGUACACCAAAAUGCACAGGUUGUGAACUCGAAGAGUAGGGCGGGACACGUGGUAUCCUGUCUGAAUAUGGGGGGACCAUCCUCCAAGGCUAAAUACUCCUGACUGACCGAUAGUGAACCAGUACCGUGAGGGAAAGGCGAAAAGAACCCCGGCGAGGGGAGUGAAAAAGAACCUGAAACCGUGUACGUACAAGCAGUGGGAGCAUCCUUUUGGGUGUGACUGCGUACCUUUUGUAUAAUGGGUCAGCGACUUAUAUUCUGUAGCAAGGUUAACCGUAUAGGGGAGCCGAAGGGAAACCGAGUCUUAACUGGGCGUUAAGUUGCAGGGUAUAGACCCGAAACCCGGUGAUCUAGCCAUGGGCAGGUUGAAGGUUGGGUAACACUAACUGGAGGACCGAACCGACUAAUGUUGAAAAAUUAGCGGAUGACUUGUGGCUGGGGGUGAAAGGCCAAUCAAACCGGGAGAUAGCUGGUUCUCCCCGAAAGCUAUUUAGGUAGCGCCUCGUGAAUUCAUCUUCGGGGGUAGAGCACUGUUUCGGCUAGGGGGUCAUCCCGACUUACCAACCCGAUGCAAACUGCGAAUACCGAAGAAUGUUAUCACGGGAGACACACGGCGGGUGCUAACGUCCGUCGUGAAGAGGGAAACAACCCAGACCGCCAGCUAAGGUCCCAAAGUCAUGGUUAAGUGGGAAACGAUGUGGGAAGGCACAGACAGCCAGGAUGUUGGCUUAGAAGCAGCCAUCAUUUAAAGAAAGCGUAAUAGCUCACUGGUCGAGUCGGCCUGCGCGGAAGAUGUAACGGGGCUAAACCAUGCACCGAAGCUGCGGCAGCGACACUAUGUGUUGUUGGGUAGGGGAGCGUUCUGUAAGCCGUUGAAGGUGUAUCGUGAGGUAUGCUGGAGGUAUCAGAAGUGCGAAUGCUGACAUAAGUAACGAUAAUGCGGGUGAAAAACCCGCACGCCGGAAGACCAAGGGUUCCUGUCCAACGUUAAUCGGGGCAGGGUGAGUCGACCCCUAAGGCGAGGCCGAAAGGCGUAGUCGAUGGGAAACAGGUUAAUAUUCCUGUACUUGGUGUUACUGCGAAGGGGGGACGGAGAAGGCUAUGUUAGCCGGGCGACGGUUGUCCCGGUUUAAGCAUGUAGGCGGAGGUUCCAGGUAAAUCCGGUACCUUUUUAACGCUGAGGUGUGAUGACGAGGCACUACGGUGCUGAAGUAACAAAUGCCCUGCUUCCAGGAAAAGCCUCUAAGCAUCAGGUAACACGAAAUCGUACCCCAAACCGACACAGGUGGUCAGGUAGAGAAUACCAAGGCGCUUGAGAGAACUCGGGUGAAGGAACUAGGCAAAAUGGUGCCGUAACUUCGGGAGAAGGCACGCUGAUAUGUAGGUGAAGUGAUUUACUCAUGGAGCUGAAAUCAGUCGAAGAUACCAGCUGGCUGCAACUGUUUAUUAAAAACACAGCACUGUGCAAACACGAAAGUGGACGUAUACGGUGUGACGCCUGCCCGGUGCCGGAAGGUUAAUUGAUGGGGUUAUCCGUAAGGAGAAGCUCUUGAUCGAAGCCCCGGUAAACGGCGGCCGUAACUAUAACGGUCCUAAGGUAGCGAAAUUCCUUGUCGGGUAAGUUCCGACCUGCACGAAUGGCGUAAUGAUGGCCAGGCUGUCUCCACCCGAGACUCAGUGAAAUUGAACUCGCUGUGAAGAUGCAGUGUACCCGCGGCAAGACGGAAAGACCCCGUGAACCUUUACUAUAGCUUGACACUGAACACUGGUCCUUGAUGUGUAGGAUAGGUGGGAGGCUUUGAAGUGUGGACGCCAGUCUGCAUGGAGCCAUCCUUGAAAUACCACCCUUUAAUGGCUGGUGUUCUAACGUGGACCCGUAAUCCGGGUUGCGGACAGUGUCUGGUGGGUAGUUUGACUGGGGCGGUCUCCUCCUAAAGAGUAACGGAGGAGCACGAAGGUUAGCUAAUCCUGGUCGGACAUCAGGAGGUUAGUGCAAAGGCAUAAGCUAGCUUGACUGCGAGAGUGACGGCUCGAGCAGGUGCGAAAGCAGGUCUUAGUGAUCCGGUGGUUCUGAAUGGAAGGGCCAUCGCUCAACGGAUAAAAGGUACUCCGGGGAUAACAGGCUGAUACCGCCCAAGAGUUCAUAUCGACGGCGGUGUUUGGCACCUCGAUGUCGGCUCAUCACAUCCUGGGGCUGAAGUAGGUCCCAAGGGUAUGGCUGUUCGCCAUUUAAAGUGGUACGCGAGCUGGGUUUAGAACGUCGUGAGACAGUUCGGUCCCUAUCUGCCGUGGGCGCUGGAGAAUUGAGGGGGGCUGCUCCUAGUACGAGAGGACCGGAGUGGACGCAUCACUGGUGUUCGGGUUGUCAUGCCAAUGGCAUUGCCCGGUAGCUAAAUGCGGAAGAGAUAAGUGCUGAAAGCAUCUAAGCACGAAACUUGCCCCGAGAUGAGUUCUCCCUGAGACUUUAAGUCUCCUGAAGGAACGUUGAAGACGACGACGUUGAUAGGUCGGGUGUGUAAGCGUAGCGAUACGUUGAGCUAACCGAUACUAAUGAACCGUGAGGCUUAACCUUACAACGCCGAAG
rnacentral:rRNA from 1 species